AGAGCUCGAGCCUAAAAUCUCUGGCAGUUGAUGCCAGCGAAUUGUGGCCGGGAGAGGCAGCUGGACCCUGGCCGGUGCUGUCGAAGUUGACCUGGAAAGGCACGUCAGAGAGGGUGACAGCCCCGUGCGCGACACCACUGGAUAGGGCCGCUACUGUCUUCAGAGAGUCGGGUUGUUUGGGAAUGCAGCCCAAAGUGGGUGGUAAACUCCAUCUAAAGCUAAAUAUGGGCAUGAGACCGAUAGCGAACAAGUACCGUGAGGGAAAGGUGAAAAGUACUUUGAAAAGAGAGUCAAAAAGACCGCGAAACCGUUAGGAGGGAAACGAAUGCAGCCAAAGUGGCUCUCAUUCAGGCUCAGGAGUUGUCGGUGCGCAGUGCCAGGCUGUUGGACACCGAAGGGUGCGGCAGUCAGGAUACAGCAUGCCGAGCACUCUGCAUUCCUGAUGAGAGUCGGCCAACAGCAGUUACCCCUGACUCGAAAGGGCUGUCGGGAAGGUAGCUUCUUGGUUUACCAGGAAGAACUUAUAGCCAUCGGCCUGGCAGUUGGGGGUGACUGAGGAGUGCUGUGACUUUUCACACCAGCAGUGCAGGCUCCCUAGGGGCCGGGUCGCUUCUGUCCGUGUGGGCAAUGCUUCCGGGACUGCAUGCAGUGUCGGAAGACAUGUGUGUGCUCGGGUGGGGAGGUUGGCCACGCCUUGCAC
rnacentral:rRNA from 1 species